GGCCAUCUCCACCUUGGCAGCCAACCUUAGGCAGAGAGAUCAAGAGCAAUAGGAAUGAAAAAGGGAAGGUGAUGCCUUUAGUUGCCUGGAGAUCACCGGUGCUUAAGACGCACCUGACGGGGAUAGCAUUGAAGUCCAGGUGGUCAUGAAAGGAGGAGGAAGAGGGCGACCAUGGCUGCUGUGGUGGGUGGUGGUGGUGCUGGGGGGAUGAGAAGAAGGGCUACUUGUUGGACAGGUCAAGAAUGCUGAGGUGGAGCGAGUGGGAGUUAGCGCUGCUACUCUUGUGGAGACAAUAAGAAGAGAAGAUGAAUAUGAUGGAGAAGAGGAGAAGAGAGGAGGAUGGGAGCCACCGACAUCGUAUACGGCCUGAGGGGUGG
rnacentral:lncRNA from 1 species